rnacentral:rRNA from 1 species
AACGAACGCUGGCGGCAGGCUUAACACAUGCAAGUCGAACGAAGUCUUCGGACUUAGUGGCGCACGGGUGAGUAACACGUGGGAAUAUACCUUUUGGUGGGGGAUAACAUCGGGAAACUGAUGCUAAUACCGCAUACGCCCUUCGGGGGAAAGAUUUAUCGCCAAAAGAUUAGCCCGCGUCUGAUUAGCUAGUUGGUAGGGUAACGGCCUACCAAGGCGACGAUCUAUAGCUGGUCUGAGAGGAUGAUCAGCCACACUGGGACUGAGACACGGCCCAGACUCCUACGGGAGGCAGCAGUGGGGAAUCUUGGACAAUGGGCGCAAGCCUGAUCCAGCCAUGCCGCGUGAGUGAAGAAGGCCUUAGGGUUGUAAAACUCUUUCGCCGGAGAAGAUAAUGACGGUAUCCGGAGAAGAAGCCCCGGCUAACUUCGUGCCAGCAGCCGCGGUAAUAC